CUAGGUAAACAAUAAUUAUAAAUUGUAUUUAUCUACGUUACGCCCUAGCCACUAGCUAGAAUAGAAUAGAAUGCACUGAGACUAUAACGCUAGGCGGGCUAUAUAAAACAUAUUAUUUUCUUUUACAGGGCCACAAAAAGCGAAAGUCCUCCCCCUGUUCCAUGCCUUCACAGGUUGUGAUACUGUGUCCUAUUUUAACGGGAAAGGAAAAAAAAGUGCAAUAGAUGCAUGGAACGCAUUUCCCAAUGCCACAGAAGGGUUUCUGGCAGCAUAUGAGGGGAGUACUAGCGAGGCGUUUACAGUAAUCGAAAAGUUUGUCGUCAUUUUAUAUGACAGAGCCAGUUCAUUUACAACCGUAAACGAAGCCCGAAAGCACCUAUUCUCGAAAAAAGACCGCCAAUUGGAGAAUAUACCUCCGACGAAAGCUGCUCUAUACCAGCAUUUCCUGCGGGCAGUGUUCCAAGCAGUCCAUGUAUGGGGUCAGAUGUCACCGAAUCAAAAUCUUCCCUGUCCAUCUAACUGGGGAUGGAGAAAAGUCAGUGAAAGCUGGCAACCUACAUGGACAGACUUGCCCGUAGCUGCAGAUGCAUGCCUGGAAAUGAUCCGGUGCAGAUGCAAAAAGAGGUGCGGCGGCUCGAGGUGCCGGUGCUUUCAGCGGCAACUUAAGUGCACGGAGCUUUGCGAUUGUGGGGGACAAUGUAAAUAAUAAACAUUUUUAAGUAAAAUUCUA